CUGGGAUGAUGUAACUUAGCCAAAUCAGACAUUGAUGUGCUCCUUGAGGUGUUUCCUUCAAGGUUUUUCUCACAUUGUCAUUUGGAGGCUGUUUUGUUAUCUCUGCUUACGCGUACUGCCUCGAGCCUUGAAUGGGACCCUUUUGUAGAAGCGCAUCUAUCUGACGAUAAAAACAGAGAUUGGUUCCUAGCUGACCAGG
rnacentral:snoRNA from 1 species